rnacentral:rRNA from 1 species
UACAGAGGUCUCAAGCGUUGUUCGGAUUCAUUGGGCGUAAAGGGUGCGUAGGCGGCCCGCGCAAGCGUGCGGUGAAAGCCCGGGGCUCAACCCCGGGUCGGCCGUGCGGACUGCGGGGCUCGAGCACUGUAGGGGCAGAUGGAAUUCCGGGUGUAGCGGUGGAAUGCGUAGAGAUCCGGAAGAACACCGGUGGCGAAGGCGGUUAGCUGGGCAGUUGCUGACACUGAGGCGCGACAGCGUGGGGAGCAAAAGGG